rnacentral:sRNA from 1 species
AUGUACCACUCGUACACUCCGGUUCCUGCGCGCCGUCCGCGCCCACCUGACAGCUGCUCGCUACGUUCUGUUAGCC